rnacentral:rRNA from 1 species
GAUGAACGCUAGCGAUAGGCUUAACACAUGCAAGUCGAGGGGCAGCAUGGUCUUAGCUUGCUUAGACUGAUGGCGACCGGCGCACGGGUGCGUAACGCGUAUGCAACUUGCCUCACAGAGGGGGAUAACCCGUCGAAAGACGGACUACUACCGCGUACACUCCCUCUUUGGCAUCCAAGGUAGAGGCAAUGAAAUUCUCUGUUAUAUAGGCAUGCGUCCCAUUAGCUCGUUGGUGAGGUAACGGCUCACCAAGGCGACGAUGUGUAUGGGAACUGAGAGGUUGAACCCCCAGACCGGUACUGAGGCACGGACCAGACUGCUACGGGAGGCAGGAGUGAGGAAUAUUGGUCAAUGGGCGAGAGCCUGAACCAGCCAAGUCGCGUGAAGGAUGAUUGGCUUAGGGAUUGUAAGCUUCUUGGAUACGAGAAAAACAAGAGUAACGAGUGACUUCUUGAAUGUACCGUAUGAAUAAGCAACGGCUAACUCCGUG